rnacentral:rRNA from 1 species
UACGUAGGUGGCAAGCGUUGUCCGGAUUUAUUGGGCGUAAAGCGCGCGCAGGCGGUUCUUUAAGGCUGAUGUGAAAGCCCCCGGCUCAACCGGGGAGGGUCAUUGGAAACUGGGGAACUUGAGUGCAGAAGAGAAGAGCGGAAUUCCACGUGUAGCGGUGAAAUGCGUAGAGAUGUGGAGGAACACCAGUGGCGAAGGCGGCUCUUUGGUCUGUAACUGACGCUGAGGCGCGAAAGCGUGGGGAGCAAACAGG